UCGAUGAGUUCAAUCAACCCCAUCCUCUCCUCGUUUACUGAGCUAGUCAGUUACCAGUGACUCACUGAGUCAAACUCGUGGACCCCUCUCGUUUCUCCCAUUCAUUCAUUCUUCAAUCGAAAUCUCCAAAUCUCUCAAACCCUCACUCACCAAAACCCUCUCCAAAUUCCCAUGUUCCCUUCCUCAAUUCACCUCCCAACCACUCCCUGAUUCCGCCGCAACCCAUGGACACCGCCGCCGCCAUACCAGAACCCGAAGCGGCGCCGCCGCCGCUGUACGAUUCCGCAAUCGACAGCCGCAAGGCGCGGCGCGGCGAGGUGGUGAACGGUUACGUCGUUUACACUCGGCGAGGUAAGAGGACUGUUCGUUCUGAGAAUGAGGAAGCAGGUGGUAAUGCAGCGGUGAAAGCGGAGGAAGGUGGUGGUUCCGGUGAGGCGGUGCUCAAUGAUCUGGUUUGCGGAAGGCUCAAGCGGCAUCGGCGAUCUACGUUUAAGAAGGCGGAGGCUGAGGCGGAGGUUGAGGCAGAAGCUGCUGCUGCUGCUGCUGAUGGUGGUGAUGGUGGCGGUGUGAUUGCGAAGAGGGAGAUGGAAUUGAAGGUGUCGACUGUCAAGGAGCUUUUCGAUACUGGCUUGCUCGAUGGAGUUCCGGUUGUUUACGUGGGAUGCAAGAAGGAUUCAACAUCAGGAUUGCGGGGUGUAAUUAUCCACGGGGGUAUAUUGUGCUCGUGCUGUCUGUGCAAUGGACGCAGAGUUAUUCCACCUUCCCAAUUCGAGAUUCAUGCUUGCAACACAUAUAAGAGAGCAUCUCAGUAUAUUUGCUUUGAAAAUGGAAAGAGCCUGCUUGAACUAUUAGGAGUAUGCAGAGCAGCUCCAGCACAUGCUUUGGAGGUGACCAUUCAAAAUUUUGUUGGUUCGCCGCAUGAAGAAAAGUAUUUUACUUGCAGAAGUUGCAGAGGAUGUUUCCCUUCUUCAACUGUGAAAAGAGUAGGGCCUAUUUGCCAUUCUUGCGUGGAGUCAAGGAAAUCUGAAGACAAUUCUAUUCAUGCAGUUGGUAAAAGAGUCAGGUCCCCUCGACCCAUGCUGUUCUCCAGUCCAUCCUGUUCUUCUGAACUAUGUAUCUCUUCACGAACUAAAAGAAACUGGAAGAAAAGAACAAAGUCAUCGAAACGGGUUAGCAGCUCAAAUUCUUCCAGUGGUGCUUCUGUGCCUAUUUUAUUCCAAAAGAAAAGGUCAUCAGAACUGUCAGUUAAAUUGAAGAUUGCUCCAGGUACUUUGAAUCCGGAGAUCUUACCUCCACAAAAUAAGAGCGAGUGGAGGAUUGCUAAAAAGUAUCAGAGAAUGCAUAAAUUAAUUUUUGAAGAAAAUGGGUUACCGGAUGGAGCUGAAGUAGCUUAUUAUGCACGUGGACAGAAAUUUCUCGAGGGAAUCAAAAGGCACUCUGGGAUUCUUUGUCAUUGCUGCAACACUGAGGUCAGCCCCUCACAGUUUGAGGUCCAUGCAGGGUGGGCUUCUCGCCAAAAACCUUAUACAUACAUCUACACGUCGGAUGGGGUGUCUCUUCAAGACUUAGCAACACUUCUCUCUAAAGAUCGCAAAUACAAUGCGAAGUAUCAUGAUGAUGCAUGCAAUGUUUGUUGGGAUGAUGGAAAUCUGAUGCAUGGUGAUGGAGGCCCAAGGGCAUUUCAAAAAGCUGGAAGAUCGGAAAGAGUUGUUCCUGUUGAUCAGAUUUCCAAGAGAUGCAUUCGCAUAGUAAAAAGUAUCGACUCUGAGAUUGGUGGAUGUGCAUUAUGCAGGGGUUCUGACUUCAGCAGAUCAGGAUUUGGUCCACGCACAAUAAUCAUAUGUGAUCAGUGUGAAAAGGAAUAUCACGUCGGCUGUUUGAGGGAUCAUAAGAUAGCAUAUUUAAAGGAAUUGCCGGAAGGAAAUUGGCUUUGUUGCAAUGAUUGCACAAGAAUACAUUCUCUUUUGGAGAACCUCCUGAUUAGGGUGGCUGAGAGACUCCCUGAAUCUCUUUUGGAUGUCAUAAAGAAAAAGCAAGAGGAAAGAUGUUUAGAACCCCUCAGAGAGAUUGAUGUAAGAUGGAGACUUCUUAAUGGUAGAGUUGCUUCUCCUGAAACUAAGCCAUUGCUUUUGGAGGCUGUUUCAAUGUUUCAUGAAUGUUUUGAUCCUAUAGUGGAUCCUGCUACUGGACGUGACCUUAUCCCUGCAAUGGUUAAUGGAAGGAAUUUGCGGACUCAGGAUUUUGGAGGAAUGUAUUGUGCAUUAUUGAUGGUCAAUUCAUCUGUGGCAUCUGCGGCCAUGCUUCGAAUUUUCGGUGGCGAUAUUGCAGAACUCCCUUUAAUUGCUACAAGAAAUAAAAACCGUGGGAAGGUGCAAGACUGUACUGACUUUAUGGCUACUUCCAAACACUGUUCUCGUGUAUUGAGAGACUGUUGUCUUUCUUGAGUGUGAAAAACCUUGUGCUACCAGCUGCUGAAGAAGCAGAAUCUAUAUGGAUUCAUAAAUUUGGGUUUAGCAAGAUGGAACCUGACCAGCUCACCAACUAUAGGAAGAACUACUGUCAGAUGAUGGCAUUCAAAGGGACAGUUAUGCUUCAUAAAACGGUGCCUCAAUGUCGGGUCACCAAUACUCAAUCAUGAGAAGUCUAUAUUAACAGUGUCAAUCAUGAAAGGGGAAAACCCCUAGCUAGUUUGUUUCCUUUUAUUCGUUAUGUUAGUUUUCUACAAGAAUCAACUAUUGGUUAUUUUAAGCCAUUCCUGAUCUCAUUCAUGGCAUUUGUUUAACGUAUAUGAUUCACUUUUAUUAUGUUUCGGUUACUCGGUCAGCCAUGCCGGAGUUCUUGAUGUUGGACCUGUGCUUUGCAGUUUGCAGUGCAACACAGUGCUGUUUUAUAUAAAUUAGACGUUCUUCGUAUAA